GGAACAGAACCACAAAAGUUUAUCCAUAUACCACCAAUACAAAAACGCGAGUGAAAACCUGAACGCUCCAAAACAUUCCUUUGAUAAGGAGUUGCAACCACGGAUCAAUGCCUCCGAGCCAGAAUCGUUUUUUUACACCAGCUCAGAUCAACAUGUGAUUUUUGCGUCUUCGCCUCGGCGACGUCAUGCUAGCAUCUUGCUUCACCUCUCGUUAUAUCGAUUCGUUUCAGUUCUUCGGCGUCACCUUGUUCAAUAUCGCUAAUGUGCUUGCAUUGUCGCUUACGAUUCAGAGGUUCCCCUCAGUUUUGUUGUCAUACUUAUAUGAACAGAAGAGGACAAAGGCAAAAUCGGAUCGAAGGAACUUACCGGAUCAAAGCUCUAAUAGCAGACAGGUUACCGGUCGCAAAUUGGUGAAAGUUUGAGCUGCAGAUCGACGUUCUUGUUUGUAGCAUCAUGAGUUUGAGAUGCAUAGUGGAAGGAAAUGAGAUGCAAAUGAAGAGUUUGGCUACGGUGAGUUUUUGGUUGCAGAAUAGUGAGAAUUUCUGCAGAAAACUAUGAUGCAGAGUUGAAGAAAAAGGUUGCAGAAUGGAGAAGAAGGUGAAAGCCGAAUCAAUGAUGAUGAAAGAAAAUAGUUGCAGAAUCCAAACUUCUCCUUUGCAGAAAUGGCAGGUCAGAUUGAAGUUGGAUUCGAGGUUGAAUUUAGAGUUAGUUUGAGGUUAGUUCUGUUUGUUUUCUUGCAGGUUUUUGGAAGUUGUUCUGUUAAGGGCGGAAUGAAGAGCUUGAGAUUAGAUUGCGAGUGCAAGUGCUUUGGAUGCGCCCCUAUCCUGUUCUUCGGAGAAUGAGGCAGCGAGGACUGUAUGGAGCGAAUCAAAACAUGGCUACAACUCUUGUUGGUCCCGCGACAGGUUUUGCUUCCAUGAUCCAUUUUUUCCGUUCUGUACGCUUAGUUAAAAUAGAAUGCUAAUUAAAUUUCUGUUAGUUUGUUGGUUUGGAAUGCAGUUACUCCAAAUGUUAGUUCUUUGUUAGAUGGAAAAAGUAGUGUCAGUUCGAACUUAUGUUAAGUUAUGAAGUUAAAAACUGGUUGCUGAUUUUGCCGAGUCCUCGUGAUUUUUGUGAGUAGUUCAUUACAGGUUUGGGCACUUGAAAAUCCUGCUGCCAGUUAUACUGUUUGAGACGGUUUACUGCUGCACAAAACCGGUUAUGCAUUACUUGGGCUAUUUCUGAUGUGCAUGAUUCUUGGAAACGCCCCAUGGGGAUAGUGACGGCCCAAAGUUCCUUUUCAAUUAUUCCAUGUAAAUGCUAAAUGCCAUGAUAAUGAGAUGUGAUAUUUUUUUUUGUAUUGUAAAUGUAAUGCUAUUAUAAUGAAACUCUUGUAUACAUUUUGGUUAAAAUUCUUGAUGGCUUUCCAAUGUAUAGUUCAUGGUCUUAUGAUGUGUGUAGUUCAUGGUAUAAAUGCUUGAACUAUUCUUGUAUAGAAUGUUUGUGAAUGUAUGCAUGAAAUUUGAACACCUA